rnacentral:misc_RNA from 1 species
AGAAGGUUGAUAUCAGUCGACUCAUAACCUAGUAGAACUUGAACAGCAGUGAUUAAUUUUCAAGGGAUAUUAGGAAUAAAUUUGAUAUAAAAAUGCGUGUGUACAAAGCAGCUGGUUAUAUCAUUAUAAUUUCUUGUAUUUUCGUAGCGUUUAUUGCUGGAAUUACGGACAGAUUUGUGUUUAAAGUAAAUUCCGACAUUCGUGAAAUGGAGGACACUCUCCGUGUUUUUAAUUUUAUAGAUAUAUUAGAGAUAACACCGAAUGUGUACAGUUUUAAGUAUGCGGGAUCAUUCAGUACAUCAAAAAUAAAACACGUUUUGUCAGCAGUAAAACGGGUUUAUGGUGAUAAGAUAGUCGAAAUCGAACAGGUCAAAGAAUAUAUCAAGUGGAUUCCAAUGGAUAGUCCAGAUGUAAUGCCAGUUGCUGCAGGACAUGAAAUCGGCCUCAAUGCACCGCUUCGGACCCAGGAAAGUGAGAGCUAUUUCGGAAUGAACGUUGAAGCUGCUUGGUUGCAUGGAUACAAUGGCACGGGUAUAAAUGUCGCUGUAACUGAUGUUGGUAUAAAUGCGGACAUCACAGACCUGAGAAAAACCCUGGAUAUGAAUUUAGCAUUUAACUUCAUCAACAAAACAACUAAUGUGACCCCUGAACGCUUCCCUAACUAUGAGGGGGAUUCCUUGCGUUAUGUCGAUCAUGGAAAUAGGGUAACAAGUAUAAUUGGAGCUGAGAAAGGAAAUGAUUUGUGUAGUGCAGGUAUUGCUUAUGGGGCAAAAGUUGUUCCUUUGAGGGUAUUUUCGGUCACGCACGAGUAUUAUAUAUUCAAGUUAAAUACUACCUCCGAUGUCAUGGCCGCUGGCCUAGCGUAUCGUCAACAGGACAUUCAUAUCUACUCAAACAGUUGGUCGCCAUCUAAAUCAUUAGAACCUCUAGAUAUGGCUACAAGAGAAGCUAUUCAACAAGGGGCGACAAAAGGCCGAAACAAUCUUGGAGCAAUUUAUGUUGUGCCGGAUGGGUCGGAUGGUGUAUCUGGCAGUGGUCUUGCAAACAGUUUAUAUACUAUUGCUGUUAACAGUGUUGGUGUAAACGGUACCCUGCCGACGAAGCCACAAGUGAGCGCAUGCGUUUUAACUUCUGGCCUUGGAGAAGGAAGCAAAUUCCACACAAAUUACAUGCUGACAUCAUCAUACAAUAACACAUGCAGCAGAUCAUUUAAAGGAGUUUCAGCAGCGGUUGCUGAAGUAUCUGCUAUAAUUGCUCUUGUUUUACAAGCAAGGUCAGAUCUAACAGUACGAGAUAUUCAACAUUUACUUGUGGAGUCAUCGGACCAUAAACGACUAGCAGUAGCACAGUCAUUUCAAAGAAACUUCGCUGGAAAGUUUUUUAAUCAUUUUCUGGGUUUCGGGUUAAUUAAUGCAGAGAAGAUGGUGAAACUUUCAAAAACAUGGCAUCUCGUGGAAAACGUCUACAAGAACACGCUACGCUAUGAAGGCAAAUUUUCUUUCCGUUUGAGGAAGCCCACAUUUCCGCACACGUUUCCAAUGGAUAGAUUUUCAUGAAAAUGUCGCAAAGAUUUAAAUGUAUAAAGCCCGAAUGUUUGUUAUCGUUUUGAUAACCUUAUCCAACUUAUGCGGUUGCAAAUUAUGGCAACCUUCUGUUAUAUACAUGCAGUUUCAAAAUGAUGUCCAUACUAGAAUUGAAGAUAGAAGAGGAUGGAUGCAAUCCGCAUGUUAAUACGAUAGAACAUGUGGUUUUGUGUAUUAGACAUGAUGUUAUCAAUCAAGCAGAUACGCGCCUGGAAAUA